AGCCACCCAGGCGCCCUAAUGCUGGCUUUUUAAAAUGAGUUUCAGGUGGAGGAGGCCCCCGCUGUCUGCGUCAGUAGAGCCUGUGACUCCUGAUCUCAGAACGUCAUGAGUUCAAGCCCCACGUGGAGCCUAGAGAGUACUUUUACUCCUCACUGGUCUGUUGAAUCUGUUUCUUGUGGACUCGGUCUCGGCAGAGCUGGUCUCAGCUGUGGCUGGGCUGUGGCCGCCAGACCGGCUCAGCCCCCUUGUCUGUGCAGGGACGGACCAGGCUCCGGUGCAGGUCAGGUUCUCCCGAGGCUGGGAACGAGGCAGAGCUGCGGUGGGUCCCAGUGGAGACAGCCCCCUCCUCGGCCCUGCUUCUGUAGGUGGGACAUCCUCUGCCCUCUCCAGACCAAGUGCUGCUUGUUGCAAGCCCCCCACUUCAGUCUCUGGUCCCUAGCGGUCACCUCAGUCCUGUGUGCGGGUCUGUAUGUUGAGGGAUGUUGUGUCGCUGAUGGAGAUUGCUCACAUGAACGUACCUGUUCUUCUAAUUCUUCCCGGCAGAAGCAGGAAGCAGUGUGAACAGUGUGUCCUGAGCCCGGCUUGUCAAACGUUGCUGUUCCGGGAGUCUGGGGUGGCCCUGAUGCGAUUUCUGCUGCUCCCAGGGUUUCAGGCAGAGUCAGGCCCGGCUUCCAGGUUCUGAUGGACCCCAAGCCCUGAAGUGGGAAGCAGGCAGGAAACGGACGACUGAAAGGCCCUCGUGGGACUCCAGACGGAAGCAUGUUCUCAGAGCGUGAGUGGAUUUCACAGUGAGAGCCAGCGGCGCUGUCAGGUCACGACCACGGCCCCCCUUUCUGCAGCCGGGGCUGCCCCGUGCUUCCGUGGCUUCCUGCCGCAGUGUGUGUCUCACAGACCCGCCCUGUCCCCUGGUCCUCACGUCCGUGGACCGUGAUGCAGAGGAGAAAUGGCUCUUUCAUAGGAAAUUCAUGGCGUUCUCUGAAAGCCAAAAGCUGGUCCCAAGUUACACUUAAACCCUGUUCGGUGUAGACGCAGGGUCAUUUGGACAUCUAAGCUAUUUCUGAAUUAGCAGAAACAGAAAUGCCAUUUUAAUGAAGUACAGCCUAGCCUGGGUGGUCACUUAGGUGGACUAAAUACUUUUUAUUUUCUUUCUUUUUGUCAAACUGGACCCUGAGUUUUCGCUGCUGUAAUCUAAACCAUAAAGCCGAACCCUUGGACCUCCGUGGAUGGACGCUGCUGUCAGCACAACAGAGCCGGGUGCCCUCCACGGGAGAUGAGGGGCCUCAGGACUCGUAAGUUUCUGUUUUUAAAAACUGAAGACUCUAAUCCCAGUACAAAGGUUUUUUUAGUAUACUAAUUUCCCCAAAUCGGAGUAAAAUCAACAGUGCACAAGAAUGCAGCAGCAUCCUGCUGUAGGGGAGGGGCGCCCUCCUGGGGUAGUAACGCAGCCGUGAGCCGGGGGUGGGGGGUCCCACUGCAUUACGGGGUCCCACUCCAGGGUCAGCCGUGCAGUUUCCGGCAAGGCCACUGUUCUCACAGCCGCUUUAAACCCUUGGUCAGCACGGCCGUUCCCCUGACCUACACCAACCACCCGGAGCCCAGAGGAGGCUGCAGGAGGAACGGGCUCCCCGGCGGGGCCGAGGCUGUCGAUGCGUCUAGCUUUGAGCGGGGGCUGGGGCAGUGCCGUUGGUUUCAAAACCCGAGUACUGAGCUGGAAGAGCUGCGGCUUCCCUGUGCUUUCUGCUCCGCGGCGUCAGCGUGAAAAUGCCAAGGUCCGAAGGGGGGGGUGCCCUUUGGGGAGGAGGUCGUUAGUCACGCCUUAGGGUGACCAGGGCUACGCUGAAGGGGAGGACUUGUCUCUUGUUAGUCAACAUUAACUACCUGUUUCAGACACAAUGUAGAAACCCAGACCCUUUUCGCGAUACGUUGUACAGCAGGCGCGUGGCCGUCACCACAAGUGAGAGAGGGCUGUUCCCAAUCUUCUUGCCGUGGGUCCUUGCCUUUCCUUAAAUGAUGGCGUCGUGUUCGUCACUGUAAGACAGGAGAAGUUGAAACCGUUUUGUAUUUUCAGAUUAAUAAUUUCAAGCUCUGGGAUCAACACUGGUCUUUACAGAAAAACCUUGCUGACGUAUCACGCCCACCACACACCGGAGGAUCCGGGCACACUUCCUCUCGGCCUCUGCUCUGCACUCCCCAGCCGAGCACCCACAAGCCCUUGAACAUUUCUUCCGUGGGAGGUGGGUGCGAGCGACCCCAUAUCUCAUGCAGGCAGCCGGCCGAGGACCGACCCCUUAUCUCAUGCAGGCAGCUGGCCGAGGACCCACGGGACGGCCCAGGUGAGCGCUGCUCUCCGCGGGCCCAGUACCCGCGACUUAGCGCCGCCCCCGCCCGGGACAGAGGACGCUGCAGUGCCUGAGAACCUCCCAGCUUCAGAGCCGCUCCUGCCUUUGCACCCCCCAGACUAGCGCACACCCAAACUUCAGAGCAGCGUGUCUGCCCCAUCCGCGUUCUUCCCGGGGCCUGCAGGGCAGGGUGCGUGGGGAGCACAGGAGCCGCAGGGGCCCCCCAGGCAGGAACGGAGCUCAGAGAAGCUGAAGGGACCUGGUUCAGCCGCUUCUGCGCUCUGUAGCCUCCCCUCCGUCAAUAAACAGCAGCGCUGGAAAA